GCCCGAGUGGUGGAAUGGUAGACACGACGGAUUCAAAAUCCGUUGCCGCAAGGCGUGCCGGUUCAAGUCCGGCCUCGGGUACCA
rnacentral:tRNA from 4 species